AGAGUUUGAUCAUGGCUCAGGAUGAACGCUAGCGGCAGGCUUAAUACAUGCAAGUCGAGGGGCAGCAGGGGUAGCAAUACUCGCUGGCGACCGGCAAACGGGUGAGGAACAUGUACGCAACCUUCCUUUAACUGGAGGAUAGCCCCUCGAAAGAGGGAUUAAUACUCCGUAACAUAAUGAAGUGGCACCACUUUAUUAUUAUAGCUCCGGCGGUUAAAGAUGGGCGUGCAACUGAUUAGAUAGUUGGCGGGGUAACGGCCCACCAAGCCUGCGAUCAGUAACUGGUGUGAGAGCACGACCAGUCACACGGGCACUGAGACACGGGCCCGACUCCUACGGGAGGCAGCAGUAAGGAAUAUUGGUCAAUGGACGCAAGUCUGAACCAGCCAUGCCGCGUGGAGGAUUAAGGCCCUCUGGGUUGUAAACUCCUUUUAUCUGGGAAGAAAUGUGUUUUUUCUAAAACACUUGACGGUACCAGAGGAAUAAGCACCGGCUAACUCCGUGCCAGCAGCCGCGGUAAUACGGAGGGUGCAAGCGUUAUCCGGAUUCACUGGGUUUAAAGGGUGCGUAGGCGGGCAGAUAAGUCAGUGGUGAAAUCUUCGAGCUUAACUCGGAAACUGCCGUUGAUACUAUUUGCCUUGAAUAUUGUGGAGGUAAGCGGAAUAUGUCAUGUAGCGGUGAAAUGCUUAGAUAUGACAUAGAACACCAAUUGCGAAGGCAGCUUACUACACAAUGAUUGACGCUG
rnacentral:rRNA from 1 species